AUAUAAUUUUUCUUCUGAAAAAAUGUGAAUCAAUACCUGUUGAUUCAGUAGUUAAAAAUAUUUCGUCAUCUUUGUCUGCGAUAGAUUUUAUGAAAAAGUAUGGAUAUUUGGAAAGUGGAGUAGCUAAUUCGGAUGCGUUAUACCAAAAAACUGCUAUAACAAAUGCAGUAAAAACUUUGCAAAAAUUUGGAAAUAUUCCGAUCACUGGUCAACUGGAUAAUACAACACUUGAGGUGCAUUUAAAAUUUAUUUUUUGAAUUUUAUUAUAUCUGAUAUUCUUAUAUGAAAAAUAUUCAUGAACGAUUUUUGGAUUCUCGACAAUGAAAUAUUCUGUAUAUAUAAAAAAAAAACACUUCAAUUAAUUAAUAUUAAAAAUAACAAUUAAAUAAUGUAAUUAAAAUAUUUAUUCGAUUAUAGAACAUAGACUGUGACAUAUUUCCUUUAGAAAUUUUCAUUUGAAGAAAAUUAUGUUGUAGCUAAUGGCAUCUCCACGAUGUGGCCUUCCUGAUAUAUUAAGGAAAAAAGAAAAUCAACAACGAAAAAAACGUUAUAUAAUAAGCUUAGAAAAAAAAAGAAAUAUAUAUUUAUAUAUAUUUUAAUACACAUAAAUUUUCUAUUUUCACGUAUUAUCAUUAUCAUAUAAAUUAUUGUAAAAAUAACAAUACUGAAAACCAAAAUUAAAAUAAUUGGAAGAUAUCGUCAUUAAGAGUUUUUAUAUUUUUAAUAAUAAUUAAUCAUGUAUUUAUUGCCAUGUAUUAUUUAAUCAUGUAUUAUUAUAAAUAGCAUGUAAAAAUAUUUAAAAUUAAAAAUUUAUAGAUAUAAUAAUUAUUUAUUAAAAUUGAAAAUAAUGAUGCAUUUUUAGCUUUAAAUUUUAUUGUUAAAUUAUAUAAUUUAUUAUUUAAUUUUUUAUUUAAAUGUAAUAUUAUUCUUAAUUAAUUAUCGAAUAAAUUAAUAAUAUAUAAAUAUUUUUAUUUUUAUUUAUUUUCUUUUGAAUAUACAUAUGAGAAUAUAUUGAUGUAUUUGAAAAAAAUUAUGUUUAUAAAAAUUAUUGUAAGUAUUGUAAAACAAUGUAGAUUAUAUUCUUAUUAAUUAUUAGUGCUCCAAAGGAAGCAAAUUUUUCAUACAGCGCAAUGUAUUCUACAUUGCUUUCUAAUUUCAUAUUGAAAAUAUUGUAAUAUUCGAAGAAUUCUCUCCAACUUGCAUUUAAUAAAAAGUAUCUUCAGUUAAAAGAAUCUCCGAUUAGAAAAUUACUUCUAGAGCGAACGAUCAAUGCAAUAAGCACGUCAUCCAUCAUAUUCAAAAAUAUUCACAAAUAUUAGCAAUGCAACAAGUCUAAUAUUAUGUAUAUUUUAACUGCAACAACUUUGUGGCUUAGGAUCAAGCCC